AGUCCAAUAAAUUGUUGUAUUGUUUAGCGGUGCAGUUCAUCUCUUGAGUUCUACUACUGUUUUUGUAUUGCACAUUAUCAAAUACAGAAAUUGGUCUGGUGAUUAUGAUACGCUGGAGUUUUAAUUGUUUACUUUUCUGUAUGCUUGUAAUGAUAUAUGCUGGAGUUGUCCUUAUUUCCAUUUUCUAAUGCUUCUAAUGAUAUGAUUGGUCUGGGAGUUUGUGCUCUCUAAUCUUUAAAGUUUUGCCUAAGGUCCUAGAGGUUUCUCCCGGUUCACCAACUAUAUCACAAGAACAUGUUGAUCCACCACUGAUAGAGAUUGCAGCAGAAAAAUCGCCGGAGCUGCCUGAGGAAAUCAUGAUGGAUAUAUUUGCCCUUUUUGUGGUCCCUAAAUUUGUGCGGGCUCUAUCUACUCCUUCUGGAACUCGGUGUAUACAAGAAUACAUAACAUCGGUCCACAGACACCAUGCCUCCUCUACACUUCAGAAUCAGCUGCUUCAGCUGCAUUUUGAGACGACAGGAUCGAACCAUGUAAGGUGAGUAACUACCCACGCUGGAAGUCCCAGGUUCAGUUAUGUUCAGUUAUAAUGAGUUUGAUUUUGCCUUGAGGGAAGAAAAACGGUGCCACAGUGUAUGCAGACCUCAAAAAAAUGCUUAUGGUGUUAAGAUGGAAAAAAAGGGACAAAUCCAACCAUAUUGCGCUUCUUAUUAUGAAUGUGACAAUAUCAUCGGACAUUGCAAGGGUACUCCUCAAGAAAGACACUACUGAAGAAUUCUUUCCUGAAAUGGAGGAGCAGUUCAAAGGCUCUGGGAAAGUAUACGCUCACGAGCUUUUGGCUAACCUGUUGUUGGCAAUGUUAGACAACAUAUACUGAGAAUGCUGAAUUUUUCACCAAGCUUAAAGCUUUGGACUGUUCAUUGAGGGAAACCUUCUCGUGUCAUGAUUCUAAAGCCCUCCCAAAUGAUUUUGAUAAAUUCAAGAUCAAUUAUAGUUCUUUAAAGGAAAAUUGGGCACUCGUUGAGAUUACCGCUAGGAUUGUGCAGGAGGAAGAGAGAUUUCCAUGUUGGCUCUGGAAGAGAAAGCAUGAUUCGACCUCAUAAUCCUCACUUUAACCUGGACAAUCCUAGUGGUCAUCUCAGCGAGUGUUCAAUUUUCCUUUAGAGAAUUAUAGUUGAUCUUGAUUUUAUCAAAAUCAGUUGGAAGGGACUCAAGAAUCAUGAGUAUGAGAAGGUUUUCACUUAAUGAACAAUCCAAAGCUCCAAGCUUGGUGAAAGCAUUCAUCAUUCUCAAUCUAUGUUGUCUAACAUUCCCAUCAACAGUGUACUUCUGAAGAAGCUUAGCCAAAAGCUCAUGAGCGUACACUUUCUCGAAGCCUUUGAAUUGCUCCUCCAUUUCAGCAAGGAAUUCUUUAUCAGUUUCUUUCUUGGGGCAAGGUUUCCUAAGCCUUAGAAAAGGCAAUUGAAGAAAGAAGCCUAUAAGUCAUUAAAGGGUAAAUAAGUCGGCGCCUCUUCUUCAACGUGCAUCAAUUUUGCUCCAAGGAAGGACACGACCAAAGGGAAUGCCCAGGCUUCCUAAAAUGGAUGAACGAAAUAGGUGCAACCACUCAUGUUGCUAAGUCUAUGCUGGGGUUCGUAUGAUUCAAACUAUAAGUUGAGGAACAAGAAAGUUUAAGGCAGCGAGAUGAGUUGAAGCUAUGGGAUCUCCCAUGUUGGAGCUAUACAAUCUUUGACUGAAUAAUGUUCUUUGUCUACCUACCUUAAGUAGGAAUUUGAUUUCCGUUUCUUGUUUAGAUGAUGACAUGUACGAAUGUAUG